AAAAUCUUGCCAUGAUGAUUUUUUUUACUUGGUUUUACUAUCCUGUUGGCGCAGCCUCAGUUGAGGGACGAAGAACCAAAACAAAGGUAAUUCCAGGGAUCAAUCAGAACAAAGGUUUACAUUAUCAAUUGCCAAUGAGAACUCAAAGUGAAAAUAACCAAUCGCGUGUUUCGCAUAUGAUUGGUUAAGAGGAUGGCACUAGAUUUCUGGACCAAUCACAAACCAAAUCAUACUGGAUUACUUUCGACACUCAUUUGGCAGUAGGCCAUUUAACAGUUGUAUGCUUAGUUGCCAAGCCUUUGAUUUGGAGUGAGGCUGAAGGUGACUGGUUGUGAUAGAGACCAAUAUCUAGUUAGCAUGGUAACAAAGUAAUUUACAUUUGAAAAGCAGCAACGAUUGCAUCAUCACGAGGUCACUCUAAGCCUCAUUUCUGUUCAAAGGUUUGGCAACCAAGCACGCCACUGUAAAAUGGACUAAUACUGUAAUUACCCAACGAUUUGGAGACUGUAUUGUCUUCAAUUUUGGAGGUGAGACGAAAGGUAGUGGAUGGUUUUACGACUCGUCAGCCCAAUUUAAAUCUGUGUAAAAUGGUAUUUCCCAUUCAAGAUGCAAUUUGAUAUGUAUAUUUUCUAGGUAUUUUUGAUAGUGGUGUUGGUCGCCAUACUACCUUUAGUGAAGAAAUGGCAAAGAACGUAGGUUCCUAAGUUUAUCCUUUAAUUCAAUCAUUUCUUGGCUUAAAUUAACUUUUGGACAACUUUCCUUGACCUUUUUUAAUCCCAAAAAGUGGAGCUCUUUGAAGUUGUUUUCCUGAGAACAGUUGUCAUCCCAGUGGUGAAUGUUAGGUAAGCUAUUUAUUGUGCUGUCCGUGUACAGUGUCUGUUAAAUCUAUCCAAAAGUAAAUACCAGAUAUAAGCUGUAAGAUUAUCCAUAAUAAACCUUGUUAAACGUU